rnacentral:rRNA from 1 species
AUUGAACGCUAGCGGGAUGCUUUACACAUGCAAGUCGAACGGCAGCGCGGACUUCGGUCUGGCGGCGAGUGGCGAACGGGUGAGUAAUGUAUCGGAACGUGCCCAGUAGCGGGGGAUAACUACGCGAAAGCGUAGCUAAUACCGCAUACGCCCUACGGGGGAAAGCAGGUGAUCGUAAGACCUUGCACUAUUGGAGCGGCCGAUAUCGGAUUAGCUAGUUGGUGAGGUAACGGCUCACCAAGGCGACGAUCCGUAGCUGGUUUGAGAGGACGACCAGCCACACUGGGACUGAGACACGGCCCAGACUCCUACGGGAGGCAGCAGUGGGGAAUGUUGGACAAUGGGGGCAACCCUGAUCCAGCCAUCCCGCGUGUGCGAUGAAGGCCUUCGGGUUGUAAAGCACUUUUGGCAGGAAAGAAACGUCGCGGGCUAAUACCCCGUGGAACUGACGGUACCUGCAGAAUAAGCACCGGCUAACUACGUG